GGGUCAAUGAUGAGAACUCAUAUUGUCUUGAAGAGAGAUGAUCACCUAAAAAUCAUGCUCAAUAGGAUUACACUGAGGCCU
rnacentral:snoRNA from 1 species